AACGAACGCUGGCGGCGCGUCUUAAGCAUGCAAGUCGAACGGCAAGAGAGGAGCUUGCUUCUCUCCUAGAGUGGCGGACUGGUGAGGAACACGUGGGUAAUCUACCCUUAAGAUGGGGAUAGCUGCUAGAAAUAGCAGGUAAUACCGAAUACACUCGGCAUAUCACAAGAGGUGUUGAGGAAAGGAAGCUACGGCUUCGCUUGAGGAUGAGCUUGCGUCCCAUUAGCUAGUUGGUGAGGUAAAGGCCCACCAAGGCGACGAUGGGUAUCCGGCCUGAGAGGGUGAACGGACACAUUGGGACUGAGAUACGGCCCAAACUCCUACGGGAGGCAGCAGCUAAGAAUAUUCCGCAAUGGACGGAAGUCUGACGGAGCGACGCCGCGUGGAUGAAGAAGGCUGAAAAGUUGUAAAAUCCUUUUGUUGAUGAAGAAUGAGGGUGAGAGGGAAUGCUCAUCUGAUGACGGUAAUCGACGAAUAAGCCCCGGCUAAUUACGUG
rnacentral:rRNA from 1 species